ACAAGCAGCGCAAUCUCUCCCCCUCCAGAUACUGCCACGUCCUUAUACAUGAUCUCAUCCCUUUUUGCCACGCUCCUCUUUCCUCUUUCCUCUUUCCUCCGAUUCCUUCACCCUUCUUCCUCAUUCAAACUUCUUUGGUUUCUUCGCCCACUCUCGGCGGUGCUUCUGUUUCUAUGGAUCCUUAACCCUUGCCCCUCUCCUCUUAUCUCCCAUGUCUUUUUGUCAACUGCCGUUCGUCAUCUCCGUUGCAAGGUUUUCAAUAAUACCUUUGAUGCUUGUAAAGCAAGACCCACUUGCGGUGGGCGUUCAUUUGCUUAUAAACAUCGAAGAUAUUAUAGGGAACCUGAUUCAAAUAUGGGGUCCUGUUCUUUGGAUUCGCCUGCUUGCAAUAAGGGGUCCUGUUCUUUGGAUUCGCCCGUCUCCGGUUGCUCGGCGGAGGAGGUGGCAGGAAGAGGAACAGGAUGGUAUGCCCGUACAGUCUCCUUUCGAAUCUCCUCCUUCCUCUGUCUUCCUCUAAAAUAUUUUUUAAUUUCGAUUUGGGUUUUUAUUUAUUUUUGGUAAAAGGGGAAAGAAAGGAAGAAAGUAGCUAUAUUUUUUGUUCCCAGUAUUGGGAGUUAGUUUAUUUGGAGGGUUUUCGGUGGGGUUUUGUACCAGACAUGGCUCUGGGAAAGAUCACUCUUCUCAUUGGUGCAGGUUUAUCUCUUCUCCCUCUUCUUUGUUAAUUAUGAAUGUUGUGAGUUUGUAUUGAUUUUUGUGUGGUUUGGUUGAAUUUAGUUGCUAAUUCAAGAGGGUUUUUGUUGUUAUUGCAAUUGGAUGAGGAUUGGUGAGAUAUGGGUAGAGGUUGAAUUGUUUUAUGGGGUAGUGAAUUGGGCAUUACUUUUGUCGAAUACCUUGUGGGCAUUGUUGUUAUUGCCCUAGAAAACCCCUUUUCAAUUUUCUAUUUUUGGGUUGUUUUUGCAUGAGUCAUUUGCUAACUGUACCUCAAGUUCAGUCCAUUGGAUUGUGGUUGAUUGGUUGGAUGGUGGUGGGAUUCAGUCGAGUCUUAUUUUGUAAGAGUUUUUCCGAGCUGAUGAUAUCUAUGGUACUGGAACUUGAUGUUAAUUUUGUUGACCCUAGAUAUUGUGGAUAUUGUGCUACCGGAAAGGGGUUUCCUUACAAAUUUGCGCUGUUAAUAGUUCAAUUUUGGGGGAUUUUGUACUGUUGUCUUUAUUUUAUUUGUGAAAAUGUACUUGCUUAAAUUAAAUUGAUCAUGAUGUUUUCUUAUAUUGCCUGUCCGGUGAAUUUGUUGACAUCCUCGAAAGAAGAGAUCAGGUCAGGGAUUUGCUAAGAUAUAUAGUAAUGUCCAUUUGAUGCGGCACCGUGCAAAUGACAGUUAUCCAAGAAGGAAAUCGGUGAGCAUUACAUAUUUUUUUCUUUUAUGAUGUGAUAUCUUGGUCUGAUAUAUUUCUCUUCUUCUCUGUAAACAUCAUGUGGAUCACAAGCGAUCAGGGUAAAAUAGCCCAGGGAAAAGUACUGAAAAUCUAACUGAUUUUCUGAAUCUAAAAUCUAACUGACUUUCUAAAAUCUACCACUAAUCUGAUCUUCCCGGACAUAAUGCCUAUGCAUAUGAUCUCCCGUUCCUUAUUGGAUCAUACUAAUGGCCCCUUUAUAUGGACAAUACAUGCUAUAAUGUUGUUUUUAUUCCUGCUUUCUACAGCAUAUGCUUGAGUUAGGUGUCAAUCCAUGCCUCUGCAGGUUAUGUGCUGAGUGUCGUAGGUUAAUCUAAUUGUUGUUUUCGUGGUGGUUAUCUGGUCUUGUGUUCUUGACUAUUGAGCAUUGUACCGAGUUUUACCAGGGUCUCCUUUUUCUCAUUCGUCUCUCUUGUGUGUCGUGUUUGGGUUUUUUUAUUUGCUUCCUGCUUUUUAAAGAUAUUUUGGAAUGCAGUAGCCAUUUAGGUGUAUGUUGACGUAAUUGUUCCUGUCUUCGGUUUAGCUUUUGUUAUGCUCUCUGCCUUUGGAGUUUGUUUUCGCCUCCUAAAGGUCGGUCCCUUUGUUGUUACAUAUAACAUAAACGACUGUAAAGGAAGAUUCACCAAGGUGGUCAUACGAGUGAUGCAUUAUCAAGGUUAACUAAAUGUUUAUUAGUAGCUCGUGUUCCUAUUGACAUUCCUUUGCCUACGAGGAAGAUCUCCAAGUUGGUCAUACGACUGAUGCAUUAUCAAGGUUAACUAAAUGUAUAUUAGUAGCUCAUCGUCGGAUGGUCCUAUAAAAGUUCCAUUUCCUAUUGGGUAUUGGUCGUCCUAGAUUAAACUGAUUUCUCUAUGGCUAUAGGGAAUGCAACGUACAUUUAUGUGUUCUGUUCAGAUUAGCCUCUUGCCUCUGUAGUGAUUUUCUGUUUUUAGUUUUCAUUUACAAAUAUUUCGUGCGCUUAGCGUUUGUCUCAACCUCAUCUAGACAGCCUCUUUUAUAUUAGCUUUCUGAUGUUCCUGGUUAGAGCUGCAACUGCAUGUUUCCUGGCAGUACCCGCCAAGCUGUUUUUGGAGGGAACAAUAUACCGGAAAUCUAACAUGCGAGCCAGUAGCAUGAGAGCUACUGCUACAGAAUGACUUUAUGGAGAUAAGGAAAUAUGUUCUGAAGUUGCUUGUCAUGCAUAAAAGGCAUAUUCCUCGUGCUACUGCUACAAUUGGAGCAGUGCUGAACAUUUUUCA